AUCCUUUUGUAGUUCAUAAGCGUGAUGAUUGGUUUCUCAGUCACGUAAGAUAUGCAAAACCUUGUUACACAGUAAGCACAUUAUCCAUCUAACA
ensembl:snoRNA